AUGGACGGCAAGAUGUCUCAUCUCCUGCCUGUGACCCUGCCCAAGAAGAAGAUCCCGGACGACGCUGUCCAGCAGGUCAGCGAAUGGGCGCUCCUCACCGCCGCCCUCGCGGCGAACUACCCAAUCUCCUACGCAGUCGGCCACUACCUCAUCCCCUGCGUCCAGUCCUCCUUUCUGCGUUGCGACCAGCCGACGGACGCUGAUCCCGCCGAGAAAACCACCCUCUGGAUCCGGGUGCUGUGCUGCGCCACACUCCAGGCGGCCGCGGCGGUGCUAGCGUUGCGGCUCCCGCGCCACCGCCGCUGGCUCCGCCGCGCCCUCGCCUACCUCACGCUCGCGCUCGCGGUCGUCAUCCACUGCAUGUACGCCGUCGCUGCCGCAGCCCGCCUCUUCCUCGUCGACGACCCAGGAGACCUCUUCAGCAUCUUCUGCACCGUGGCCGCCGUCUUCUUCAUGGCCAGCGACAUCAGAAGCUUCCUGGCCCUCCUGAGAGGGAGUUCGAAUUGA
rnacentral:rRNA from 1 species